AAGGAAAUGCGACGAAAUGGAUGAAGUAGUUUGAACGAGGAGAAAAUUGAUUGUAAAUAUGACGAGUGUGAUAGGAACGAAGUAUACUCUUUCUUCCUUCCACGCGAAGGAGGAAAAGCACCAAAUGAUGGACAGAAUGAUAUUAAAUGUUUUGAAUAAACCACAUGGGCUCAAAAAGGCAGUCGGGACAGCUAUGGGGGGGCCGGAUGAAGAUGUCAAUGAAAUAUGACGAGCUCCAAACACUGGACUCCUUUUAUGGGAACCAUCACCUGUAAAACCCAAGAAGGUCAAACUACAGAAAAGUAAAAUCAGACAGAAGUCUAGCAAGGGAAGCCUCAAUGUAUGAAACCUCAGACCCUCAAGACAGGCAUCAGCAGCUGCUUCAGAAACGGCUUCUUUUGCAGAUGAUGACAUUGAUGGUACUCUCCCUGACCGCCCCAAUUCAGUUAAGGUGAGA